rnacentral:rRNA from 1 species
CCUACGGGAGGCAGCAGUGGGGAAUAUUGGGCAAUGGGCGAAAGCCUGACCCAGCAACGCCGCGUGAAGGAAGAAGGCUUUCGGGUUGUAAACUUCUUUUGUCAGGGAAGAGCAGAAGACGGUACCUGUCGAAUAAGCCACGGCUAACUACGUGCCAGCAGCCGCGGUAAUACGUAGGUGGCACGCGUUGUCCGGAUUUACUGGGUGGAAAGGGCGUGUAGCCGGGCUGACAAGUCAGAUGUGAAAGCCGGGGGCUCAACCCCCGAACGGCAUUUGAUACUGUUGGUCUUGAGUAUCGGAGAGGCAGGCGGAAUUCCUGGUGUAGCGGUGAAAUGCGUAGAUAUUAGGAGGAACACCAGUGGCGAAGGCGGCCUGCUGGACGACAACUGACGGUGAGGCGCGAAAGCGUGGGGAGCAAACAGGAUUAGAUACCCGAGUAGUC